AUUGAACGCUGGCGGCAGGCCUUACACAUGCAAGUCGAGCGGAGCGGGGGACGGGAAAGGAAUACCUAGGAAUCUGCAUGGAAGUGGGGGAUAAGGUCAGGAAUCGGGCGCGAAUACCACAUACUAUCAGAAUAGCCUAGGUCGGAUUAGCUGGUUGGUGGGGUAAAGGCCUACCAAGGCCACGAUCCGUAACUGGUCUGAGAGGAUGAUCAGUCAAACUGGAACUGAGACACGGUCCAGACUCCUACGGGAGGCAGCAGUGGGGAAUUUUGGACAAGGGGCGAAAGCCUGAUCCAGCCAUGCCGCGUGUGUGAAGAAGGUCUUCGGAUUGUAAAGCACUUUAAGUUGGGAGGCGAUACCAAAAGAAUAAGCACCGGCUAACUUCGUGCCAGCAGCCGCGGUAAUAC
rnacentral:rRNA from 1 species